CCCUGACCACACGGGAGCCCCUGCAGGGGCUGAGAAAAGGACUGAAGCAGUCUGCGACCGUUGAACCUGUCCGGGUAAUGCCGGCGAAGGAAGUGAGUAAUCCUUGAGC
rnacentral:ncRNA from 2 species